GAUGGUGGCAAAGGUGGUUAAGAUGCUGUGUUACAACCAUUAAGGUUGCAAGAUUUAACAUGUAUUCUCUGUUGGCUCAAGUUAAUGUUUGAGUGUCCGGUGCCUACCACAGGACAAGCUACACACUGAAACCCUCACAAAGCUGAAGUUCACAUGGUUGGCACACUCCAAGAAAAAAUGGUCUCCUCACCUUGGUAUGAGCCAAACUGCUGCUUCUGCUCAUUCCACAGUGGUUUUCCUGAGGUUCUUGGUGAGGAUUAUUUAGAGGCAUGCAUCCUGAAAACAGAGAAACAUUAU